AUGAAGAUGGUGGUAGCAGAUUGGCACACUGGUUCCAGCAAAACACGCAACGCAGUAGCAAAAAAAACCCGGUUCCAGCAAAAAAAGAAGACAAUGGUAGCAAAAACUGGGGCUGCUUCUAGCAAAAAACUUGCCGGCUCCAGCACUUGUCGCCCUGAACGCCGGCCGCCGCGGUUCUCCGGCACUUAUCGCGACCAUCUCCAGCACUGGUGGCUGCUGGUUGCAGCACUUGCCGCCGUCGUCUACAGUAUUGUAGCUGCUGCCACGGCAUCGCGUAGCAUCAGUCCCAGCACCAGGCGGCGCCGGUCCCAGCUCCGGCACCAGCGCUCGGUUGCCCGUGGGAGGCAGGGAGAAAGGAAUGGGGGUGGGAGAGGGGAAUUUGCAGCAGGUUGCGAUGCCAAUGGUGGCCAGAUCAAUCUAUCGCGAGGGAAGGUGGGUGUGAGGAGAGGAUAA
rnacentral:rRNA from 1 species